rnacentral:lncRNA from 1 species
UUUCAUCCUCCAUGGAAGCUUGUUUUAAAACCUUAAUAACUUCUCUCAAGCUAGCUCUAAUUUUCAUGCUUUUGUGCACCCUUUUGUAGAACCUUUUGUGCUCUUUCACUAUCUCACUUUAAAACCCUUGAAAAGUCUUACUUUCAUACUUCCUCUCACUAGCUAGGUGUUUUAGAGAGAGAAAGAGGGAGCUUUUAUAAUAGCUUAAAAUUUCUUUGAAAGAAUUUCAAUUACAAAGGUACCAAGGUGAGUAGUGAAUUAGAGUUGAUUUUUAGUUGUUGAUAAUGUCUAGUAAUUUUAUUUGUGAGUGUUUUAUUGUUGAGAUUGUUUAAUCAUUUUUAGUGUGACUAGAGUAGUGCAAAUAAUAGCCAUUUAAUGGUAGUUGGAAGUUAGUUAGGAAUAACUAGUAGAAUUCAAUUUAAAAAAUAGCUUUGGAAUAGUAUUAAUGCCAAGUUGGGUUGAUGGUGAUGUUGUUGUGUGUGAUAAGUUCCAACUAAACCCCACACCUCCAUUUGAAACCUUAGUCGAAGUUAGAGCCCACCAAAACAUCAAUAAAGACUAGUGAGUGAACUUGCAUUUCAAAAUUUCUUUAGGAAAUGUAAAUGUAUUUGGACGAAACAUUUGAAUGAUUUUAUCCAACCUUUCUUUAAAAACGUGUGCCGGGGAACAAGCCCUUGAUAAAAUGUUUUGAUGUUGUGAAAAUGUGAAAUGUGUAAAAGGAUGAAUCCAUGUACUCCUAUAUUAUGUUGGUAUGUUUAUAUAUAUGAAUAUAUGUUGUGCAUUGAUGAAUAAUGUUGUGUGAUGAUGUUGAAGUGUGCGAUUAGGGAGUGCACACAUGAUGAUGUUAGAGUGUGCGAGUAGGGAGUGCACACAUGAUGAUGAUAUUGCAUUGACCUGAGUGUGGCAGGAUGGUAUGCAUGAUGAUGUAUGUAUAUAUAUAUAUAUGUGUGUGUGUUAUAGAAAGUUAUGGAAAUAUUUGUGAUUGUGUUGCAUGUUGGCAUUGUUAAUUGCUCCCAAAUUGUUUUUCAUUCAACAAGAAAAUAGCUUUUAAUGUAACAUGACCCCUUUUAACCAAAUUGCUCUAUUUCUCGCUGCAAUGAGAUACAUUUUCACUAUAGCGAGAAACUCUCAGGUUAGGGGGGUCAAACUAGCUUGGUUCUCGCUGCAACGAAAGUAAAUCUCGCUAUAGCGAGAAACUCUUGGAUUUUAGUGCAGUGCUUUCACUUCAACAAAGACUUUGACCACAUUCCAAUUGGAACUGGGAAAAGUUGUAAACAUAAAAGUUGUGUCCCAACAUCUUAUCUUUCUAAUAGUCUAAAAAUCAUGUCAAUUAGACUUUUGUAGUGGGAGAUAUGCUUGAAAAACCGAAACAUAUACAAACUAAGACUGUUUCUCACUACAUCUAGAAACUUGUUGUCAUGCUUGCUACCUUGCUUGAUUUUGACAUAUUUUUCACCCAUUUAACUUCAUGGAUUGAUCAUGGGUUUUUGCAACACUAUGAGGUUAUUAAUCAAAGUUUGAAAUGAAGGGUUUUUAGUAAGAAAUUAAAUCAAUCGCAUUGUUUUUGAAACAAAUGCAUCAUGAUUUCCAAUUUCUCCUUAUCGAUUGCUUGUUCCCUUCUUAUGUUCACUCACUGAGUUUAUACUCAUCUUUUUCAAAUUCAUGUUUUAAAAUCAGGAGGCAGUUGGGAACUAGAUUAAGGUGUCCACGUUCAUCCAUCUCUUGGUCGGUAUCAAUGGCAUUCAGUAGCUGCACCUUCACUAUGGUCUUCUUUGCUGGAAGUCUAGAGUCUUUUUU